ensembl:snRNA U6 U6 spliceosomal RNA
GUGUUCACUCAGCAGCACAUAUGCUAAAAUCGGAAUGCUACAGAGAAGAUCAGUGUGACCCCUACGCAAGGAGGUCAUGCAAAUUUAUGAAGUGUUUCAUAUUUUA